GCACGACGGGGUUUCACAAGAUUACCCGGACCUUUCGGCCAAGGCAGUACUCGCUGGCCCCGUCAGUGUAACGCGCGUGCGGCCCAGAACAUCUAAGGGCAUCACAGACCUGUUAUUGCCUCAAACUUCCAUCGGCUUGAGCCGAUAGUCCCUCUAAGAAGUCGGCGUACUACCGGGGUAAUACGGACUAGUUAGCAGGUUAAGGUCUCGUUCGUUAUCGCAAUUAAGCAGACAAAUCACUCCACCAACUAAGAACGGCCAUGCACCACCACCCACAAAAUCAAGAAAGAGCUCUCAAUCUGUCAAUCCUCGUUGUGUCUGGACCUGGUGAGUUUCCCGUGUUGAGUCAAAUUAAGCCGCAGGCUCCACCCCUGGUGGUGCCCUUCCGUCAAUUUCCUUAAGUUUCAACCUUGCGACCAUACUCCCCCUGGAGCCCAAGCACUU
rnacentral:rRNA from 1 species